GGGUGUUUCUACACUUUGGCUACUGUGAAUAAUGAGGCUAUAAAUAUGUAUGAACACAUUCUUGUUCAUUUUGUUAACAUUUUCCAUUUUGUUAACAUUUU